rnacentral:ncRNA from 1 species
AACCACUAGGGGUGUCCGUUUUGGACUGAGACAAGGUUACUUGAUCCCUUUGAACCUGAUCUAGUUAGGACUAGCGUAGGAAAGUGGAGA